UCCCUUGUGGUGUAGUGGUUAACAUUUCGCGUUUUCACCGCGAGUCCCCGGGUUCAAUUCCCGGCGAGGGAG